rnacentral:rRNA from 2 species
CCGAUGGUACUGCGACCGGGAGGUCGUGGGAGAGUAGGACGCCGCCGGAC